AUAGAGGAAUUGGACCCGCCCCCUGGUGCGUCUUUUGGUCCUAGCGGGCUCUUCCUUUCCCCAGACCCCUGAUACGGUACUGAAACAAGGUGGGAAAAGAAAACAGAAGGAUCUUAUUUGUCCCAGGCUGGUCUGGAGUACCCAAGGAUGAUUCGAACUCCUGAUUCUCCUGAAUACUGGGAUUGCGGGUGUGUACCAUCAUAUCCAGCUCAGAGUUACCUUCCUCUGCUGAAAUUACAGGUGUGCACAACUAUGUCUGACUGUAAUUCCAUAUUUACUCCAAAUAUCAUGGGAGUAACUCUAGCAUUUAAACUAGCGAAGUGACAUAAUUAAAUUCAAUGAAUGUACCAGGCAUGGUGACCAUAUCUGGAUUCAGCUACUUGGGAGUUGGGAGCCUGGGGUAAAAGGAUUGACUGAGGUCAGGAGUUCAAAGUCAAGUCAGGACAGCAUAACUAGACCCUAACUCAGGAAAAAAAAAAAAAAAAAAAAAAAAAAAGGAGGAGGAAAGAAGAAAAGGAAGAAGAGCCUGGUAUGUUAAUCCAUGCUCGUAACCCAAACUAAAGGUGUGAGGAUAACGUUUGAAGCCUGUUGUGGUUUGUCCUGGAAUUAUCUGUAUUUUGAUGCUAAUUCCACUGCCUCAAGGACAGCUGCUUAGUCGUGUACUCAGGACUCAGGUGUCUUCACCAGAACCUUCUCCCCAUUGAAUUUGUAAAAUACAAGAGAGGGGCAGGUACAGGAUAGAAGGAGGCUUGUCAUUGGAUGAGAAGAAAGGAUGGGUGGGAGAGAAGUUUGAAGGAAGAGGAGGAGACUGGAACAGAAAGGAGGAAGAGACAUGGGGAGAGGGCGAGAAGCCAUGGCAGGUGACGUUAAGAUUCUGCUGUGUGUGGGGUUGGGGAUUUAGCUCAGUGGUAGAGCGCUUGCCUAGCAAGCGCAAGGCCCUGGGUUCGGUCCCCAGCUCCGAAAAAAAAGAAAAAAAAAACAUUCCGCUCUGUGUAUUACAGGUUGUUAUUAAUGUUCUUAAGGGAUGGAUGGUACUGGGCUUUGUAUGUUUAGGUGGGCAAUUAUAUCUUAUCAAUUGGGUCAAA